GGAUAGUAUGCGCAGAUGUUGAGUCUUCUUGUCUUCUCUUGGUUAUUUUCCAUUAUCUAUACUUAUGACCACACGAGCAACCCUUGAGAAUAAUCAAAUAUUUAAUGGGGGGGUAUGAUUGCCAACCUGAGAAAUAGGCUGUGUAAUAUUGUGAUCUCAAGGUAGGCUAUUUUCCCUUAGGUCAGGCUAUAUUUUAAAACGAUCUUACCACAGAAUUAAGAAUAACGAUUUUCACUGGGCUGAGACCUAAUCUUACCCUUUCCAAAUGCAGUUGACAUAUUUACGUAACUGGAUUGGAGUAUGUAACAAACACAGGAGCCAAAGCGGCCUACACACAGGAGCAGACAAGGACAGGGUGACUCUUCACACAUGUGCACGUGUUCUUUUUCAAACGACUUUGGGUAGACAUUGGUCAGACAUCUGCGGGGGCUGCCAUGUCAGUUAGAGAUCAAACACCGUGGGACAAUCCUUACUACAGUGAGCUCCUAUGAAGCAGUGAUCAUAUCUAUAAAUAUCCCGAUGUUUAUUCAACCUGCUCGGACCGUCACAAAAUUGAAAAUGUUUCACUGCUGCCCUCUGCUGAGAAAACGGUAAACUUAAAUCUGUUUAUGAAGCCAUACGUUUUGUUUUUAAUUCACCUUAAUUCAGUUUCUUUACGUAAAUGCUAAAAAAUAUCUUUGAGCUUGUUUGAAGAUAGAUUUGCGUGUACAACCUAGAGAGAGUGAGUGAGAGAGAGAGUACCUGUAUAUGUGUGUGUGUGUGUGUGUGUGUUGUAAUGGGUAAAGAGAGUGACAGGAUGUAGAAUGGAAACUCCUACUUCACAAUGAAAAAAAUACUGAACACAUCUGUCUGUAUGGUUCACUUCCUCCUCUCAGGGACAGUGAUCAGAGGAGAAGAGCGAGUAGAAGAAAUUGAAAGAAAGGCAAAAGAAAGCAGUCUAAAUGGACUAGGCCCGACCUGCUUCGAUUCAACACGCGUGUGAAGUUAAGAGAGGUAGAUAGAACAGAACAGAGGAAAAACAGUGGAGAGAAGACAAAGAAACAGAGAUGGCUCAAAGAUUGACACCAAGAAAAUCGUUCUUCGGUGCUCUGAUGUUUCUUGUCUUCCCACAUACAGGGAUAUCAAACAAAGAGAUAUCCAUUUCUCAAACAAACGAGGAAGCAGCCAUCAUCCUGACCUGUCACCUGUCUGGGAAUAUGACAGUCAUUCAGACAAGCUGGGUGAUGAGCCCUAAUAGAACUAAUGUAGGCACCUUCCACCCCGUGUACGGCACCCAUGUCCUCCCACAGUACACGGAACACGUGGAGAUCCUCAGUGAUCCUCCCAACUCCCAUAGGAGCUCCUUGAGGCUGAAGAACGGGGCGAUGAAUGGACCAAUCUCUUCUGCUGUGUGUUCACCACCUUCCCCUCAGGCACGCUGGACUGCUGUACAGACAUCAACCACAACACCACCCAAGGUACACCACCUCUCUGUCCUCCACAACACCACCCAAGGUACACAACCUCUCUGUCCUCCACAACACCACCCAAGGUACACAACCUCUCUGUCCACCACAACACCACCCAAGGUACACCACCUCUCUGUCCACCACAACACCACCCAAGGUACACCACCUCUCUGUCCUCCACAACACAACCUCUCUGUCCACCACAACACAACCUCUCUGUCCACCACAACACCACCCAAG
ensembl:lncRNA